rnacentral:rRNA from 1 species
UACGAAGGGGGCUAGCGUUACUCGGAUUGACUGGGCGUAAAGGGCGCGUAGGCGGUUUGUACAGUCAGACGUGAAAUUCCUGGGCUCAACCUGGGGGCUGCGUUUGAUACGUGCAGACUUGAGUUCGGAAGAGGGUCGUGGAAUUCCCAGUGUAGAGGUGAAAUUCGUAGAUAUUCGGAAGAACACCAGUGGCGAAGGCGGCUCACUGGACCGGUAUUGACGUUGAGGUGCGAAAGCGUGGGGAGCAAACAGG